rnacentral:misc_RNA from 1 species
GGAAGGAUCAUUAUCGAUUCAUAUUCACCUGCCUUUGGCAGUAGCUGGUCUCCAGCGAAACAUACACCUAGUGUAUAACAAAUAAAAUAAAGAAAAUUUUCAACGGUGGAUAUCUAGGUUCCCAUAACGAGGAAGAACGCAGCAAACUGCGAUACGCAAUGCGAAAUGCAGCAUCCGCGAGUCAUCAGAUCUUCGAACGCAAUUGGCGCCAAGAGUUAAACACUCUUGGCAUGUUUGCUUCAGCGUUGACUUAUUUAUCAUCCAAAUGUCAUUGCAAAGCAAUUUGCUCUGAUUAAAAAGGAACGAGUCGCACUCUUUCCAAUGUAGUAGGCCGAAAGGCACUCGUUGGCUCUCAGAGUGAGGAAUCGCAGAGAACUAAGUCUUUCAAAAUAAAUAAAACCUGAAGUAAGCAAGAGUACCCGCUGAACUUAAGCAUAUCACUAAGCGGAGGAAAAGAAAUUAACAAAGAUUACCUUAGUAAGGGCGACUGAACAGGUAAUAGCCCAACAUUAAAAUCUCUGUUCUACGAACAGCGAAUUGUAAUCUAUAGACAUCCAUCCGGAUGAGUCCUGAUCGCAUAAGUCUCAUGGAACGGAGCAACAAAGAGGGUGAAAUUCCCGUAUUUGGCGUGAGGGAUGAUUCAACGGAGGGUGUCACCGAGUCGAGCUUCUUGGGAUUGAAGCUCAAAUAGGGAGAUAAACUUCUUCCAAGGCUAAAUAUGAAUGGGAAACCGAUAGCAAACAAGUACCGUGAGGGAAAGAUGAAAAGAACUUUGGAAAAAGAGUUAAAAGACUUGAAACCGUUGAAAAGGAAGCGAUAGAAGUUGGGUAAUCCCGGGGCAAAAGGCCUCCUGGGUGAUGUCUGUGGUCUUGCGACGCAGCCGUUGCCAACAGGGAGGUACUUGGCUCUGGGAAAGACAAGAUGAGUUUUGGUUCCAGGAAUAUAAAAAAUGGAACGCAUGACUGAGGAUGGAUCUUGUCAAAACGACUUUUACCGACCCGUCUUGAAACACGGACCAAGGAGUUUUACUACAGUGCGAGUCUACAAGUGGAAAACUUAUAGGCGGAUUGAAAGAGAAUUCGAGGUACGCAUUUUCAGUACCGACCUUCAACUGGCUUCUGUCAGUUGCAUGCGUAAGAGCAUUGUGGUUAAGACCCGAAAGAAGGUGAACUAUACUUGAGUAGAGUGAAGUCAAUGGAAACUCUGAUGGAAGCUCAAAACGGUACUGACGUGCAAAUCGUUCGUGUAACUUGAGUAUAGGGGCGAAAAACCAAUCGAACCUUCUACUAGCUGGUUCCUUC